CUACGGGAGGCAGCAGUGGGGAAUAUUGCACAAUGGGCGCAAGCCUGAUGCAGCGACGCCGCGUGGGGGAUGACGGCCUUCGGGUUGUAAACCUCUUUCAGUACCGACGAAGCGUAAGUGACGGUAGGUACAGAAGAAGCACCGGCCAACUACGUGCCAGCAGCCGCGGUAAUACGUAGGGUGCGAGCGUUGUCCGGAAUUACUGGGCGUAAAGAGCUCGUAGGUGGUUUGUCGCGUUGUCCGUGAAAACUCACAGCUUAACUGUGGGCGUGCGGGCGAUACGGGCAGACUGGAGUACUGCAGGGGAGACUGGAAUUCCUGGUGUAGCGGUGGAAUGCGCAGAUAUCAGGAGGAACACCGGUGGCGAAGGCGGGUCUCUGGGCAGUAACUGACGCUGAGGAGCGAAAGCGUGGGGAGCGAACAGGAUUAGAUACCCCAGUAGUCC
rnacentral:rRNA from 1 species